GGAGUUGUUUGUUGUCACAUCUUUUUUUAUUUAAACCAACAUGGUAAUUGUGGAAAUAUGGGGCUAAAUUUGGGGCUUGAGAACGGGACAUCAAAAACCUGUGGGUGAUAGAUGUAGCUACGCCAGUCUUUUACAUCAUAUAUGGGACUGGGCCUUGGUGACCUCAUAGCUGGUUAUGGCCAUAGAUGGAGGAAAUACAUCUUUAGAACAUCAGAAAUCAAUAAUUUGCAAUUCAGGUAAUGGGAAAUUUUUAUAUUAUUUCUCUUUUUCAAAACUUUGGGCUAAUCAUGAAAUGAUUUAAAGUUAGCCAACAUCUAAAGUGUGAAUAACUGUAUAAAAAAUAAUAGGUAUAACUUUUAUGUUAGUCAGUUGUCAUUUUGUCAGCGUCACUGUCAAUGAAUAUCACCCUCCCAACAUCCACCCAAUCAAAAAAAGCAGAUCACUCACAUGGGGGGAGACCAAAGUCAUUCACUUCCUGUGUGGAAACCAUUCUACUACAAGUACUUGGGCAAGGCUGAAUGUUUUGUAUAUACACUAUAGCUGGUCUACAGCAUAAUUACAAUGAUUAUUAUAUAUAUAGUUUAGUUGUUUUUGUGGCCUUAAAGGUGUUAAAGGUCUGAUUUAGAGAUAAGGACCAAACAGCAGAUGACUUUCAAUACUGUCGGGAUGGAAACCGUUUCAAGAUAUUUGGACAUCAACCGGACCUUCACCCUAAUAUGCUGCUUCUCCUCCAUUUUCUUGCAAGCAGAAGGGAGCACCACUUCCUGGAUGGUCGGGAGCACAGUGACCCUGCACUGUAGCAAUAACUCAAUCAGCGACCUCCUUCAACUGACAUGGAGAAGGAAUGGGACUCUUCUGUUUAGUUUCAGGCCACAGAAAACCUCAAACAACAGCUCUGUCACCUUAAGCAGUAAUCAGAAAACAUCAGACAGCAGAAUAAUAGGGUCUCAUGCAGCUGCCAUCCUGAAUCUAAGCAUGUCCACCUUAAAAAGCCAACUGUAUGCACUAAUCAUAGAGGGAGCCCAGAAAUAUCACGAAGGAAACUACACUUGUGAAAUGACCACAGACUCAGGAGUCUUUGAACAGAAAUGGGAGCUCAUGAUUACAGAAGAAGCUGAAGCUGGAAAUAAAUUGAAAAUCCAUAUUGCUGCAAUCAUGGUACCUUGUGUGUGUUUCCUGAUCUUUAUCAUUUGUGCUUUGACCUUUCUGAGACAAAUCUGCAAAAGACAGUCAGAAAAUAUCACCCAACUGACUGUGACAUUGCCAGAACAUCUUUAUGAAAAUCCCCUUGAACUUGAAGCUCGCCAACGACGUUUCCAAAACCAGGUUCUCUCUUACACAAAGAGGACUGAGCAAUAAGAAUCACACAUAGUACAAAAGAAUAGAAAUGCACUGCAAUGAAGAGCACAUUAUGUACUGAAAUCCAUUAAAUUUGUUUUUCUUGCUAACUGGACACUUGCCAUAAUGUGACCUCAUCAGUUUGUAAUCAUAAAUAAGUUUCGUCUGUUUACAAAUCUCUGUAAGUAAACUGGAGCAGGAACCUGAAUUUUCUCUACUAAAUGCACAGUUAUUUACUCACUGGCUAAUGUUGUAGUUUAUUUAUGUCCAGUCUGUCAUUUUAGGCUGCUUGCCUAAUAAUUUCAAGACCUCACAGCUAUAUAAAGAAUAAACAAACAAUUUAAUCAAGGAGUUGGCAGCCAUGAGAAGAAGAAGUGACAUCAGACAGAACAAGAUUCAGGGCCCAUGUCUGUCUGUUUGAGAGCUGAGAAGCUAAAAUAGUUUGGACAACGAUGAAGUUCAGGAAUGCACUGACAGUUGAGUUUCAACUCAGGGCAUUGUUCACACUCAGGUUUGUUUCGAAGCUCCACAGAGAGGCGCAGUCAGCCACAGCUACAGGAAGCUACAGUGAGUGGUGGGGUCAUGCACCUGCUUAGAGAGAUUUGAAUCAGAGGACCGGCGUAACGGCAGGCUAUAAGAGAAUUAGCUAACACUGCUGAGAGGACCAGCCACUGGCUGUUGCUAAAGAGUGCUGACAUCACUUGGACAGCUAAGGCAGUGAGGUAACUGCGAGACACAUGCCCAGGAUUGAUCAACCCAUGGUAGGCCUGCCUCAACAGGGGGCGUCAAAAGGGUAGAAAACCUAACAUUAGAAAUUUUGCUGGGUGACUGAUACAGCUGUCUCAGGGCCUCCUGGGGGCCAUGCAGUUAACCUCAUGGUAGUGAAACCUAAAGGAGGAAUGAAAGAGAAAAAAAGAAAAGGAAAAAUGUUCUACUCUUCUCCCCUCUGCUCUUCUUCCCUUUUCUGGGAGGCAGUGGGGAGGUAGAGCGUACAGCCCGAUCCGACGGGGAGGUGUGGGAUGCCAGAUCAGGUGCUCCCCUUCUGGCUCUCCUCUCUGCUCUCUCCUGACUUUUCUCUUUUGUCUUACUUCUCUCUAUCACCUUUUCUAUCCCUUUGAAGAAGUGAGGCUCCAUAAAUAUUAAAGAGGUAAGUAUUACUUCUCAGUUUCAGUGAAUUGAUAGAAGAAAAUAAAUGUAGAAAACUAAACAGAAGAGAGUAGAAGAGAAAUAACAAUUUAACAUAAACCAGUGGCACACUCCAGGGCCUGAUCAACCCUGGCAGGGCCUCCUUGGAUGAGGGUGUCUAGUGAUAAUGGCCGAAACACGAUGAAUUCAGGGUCCGCUACUGACGAUGUGCCCCACAUUUUAAUAUGAUAAUCUAGAUCAAAUCUCUAAUCCCUAAAUCUAAACAUGGAAGGAAAAAAAAAGGCGGAUUAGCUUGGCUAAAAGAGUUACACACCUUGUGAAGUUGAGGCACACAACGAUGUGUCCCGCUGGUAAAGUUUCUGGGCUGCCUUUCCUCAUAACAGUCAUCCUUCAAGACUUUCUCCAUUUGAAGCAAUGCAUUAUCAGGGUUUGUAACAUCUAGUCCUUUUACUGAAUAUUAUACUUUCCCAUGUCUUGUUAUCAGAUUUAAUUCAACUGUGUGUAGUUCCACAGGUUUCUCCACUCUGCCCUGAGCUCCUCUUAUUUAUUUAAACCCUAAAGCUGUUGUGUUGUUUGUUGCUCCAUACUCACUGUUUGGCUGCUUGUGUAUUUUCCUCCAUGCCUUCAAUAGAUUUUUGGACUUUGUUUUCAGCAGCAAACAUGAAUAAAGAUUUGUUUUCUGGUAUUAACUUGUUCAUCUCCGUCUCUUCUUGGGUCCACACAUUCCAAAACAACAUGACUGCAUCAAUGUCAUCAUGCCAAUUUGCCCGAGGGUUUUUCCUAAGAAUUGUCAGGUCCGGGUGAUACCAGUCAUUCCACACUCAUGCACUACAAGAGAGAGACUCUAUGCCUUUCAUGCUUCACUAAUAGUUACUAAAAAAGCAAUUGCAAAAGACUUGGAAAGAAAUCAGUGGCCCAG
ensembl:lncRNA